UACGGAGGGUGCAAGCGUUAUCCGGAUUCACUGGGUUUAAAGGGUGCGUAGGGGGGUUGGUAAGUCAGUGGUGAAAUCUCCAGGCUUAACUUGGAAACUGCCAUUGAUACUAUCAAUCUUGAAUACCGUGGAGGUCAGCGGAAUAUGUCAUGUAGCGGUGAAAUGCUUAGAUAUGACAUAGAACACCAAUUGCGAAGGCAGCUGGCUACACAAAUAUUGACACUGAGGCACGAAAGCGUGGGGAUCAAACAGG
rnacentral:rRNA from 1 species